rnacentral:misc_RNA from 1 species
AUGAGAACUAGGGGUGGCGGCCUUGGCUGCUACUCCGAACACUCCACCCUUUGUUUACAUACCUUUGUUGCUUUAGCAGGCCCGCUUAACAGCCGCCGGCACCUGCUGGUCAGUGCCUGCUAGAGAACCUAAAACUCUUGUUAAUAAUAUUGUCUGAGUACUAUAUAAUAGUUA